UAAUGCAGCAAGACAAUGCGGAACAAGUUAUAUUAGAUCCAAAACUGAUAGCUAAGCACUACCUGAGGACGUGGUUCUUCCUCGAUCUGAUUUCGUCCAUUCCUCUAGAUUAUAUAUUUUUAAUAUUCAAUCAAUUCCAGGAUUACGGCGACAGUUUCCAAAUCCUGCACGCAGGACGCGCAUUGCGCAUCCUGCGUCUCGCCAAGUUGUUGUCAUUGGUGCGGCUUCUUCGGCUGUCAAGGUUGGUGCGAUAUGUCAGCCAAUGGGAAGAGGUGUAUAUCUUGCAGAAUCUUCAAAAAAAGCGAACAGAACGGAGGGGGCGCCUCAGUUCGGACCUCAACAAGUUUAAAAGCACCAAAAGCAAUCUCAUCUUUAAGUUCCUGAAUAUGGCCAGCGUAUUUAUGAGGAUAUUCAAUUUGAUCUGCAUGAUGCUACUUAUCGGACACUGGUCAGGAUGUUUACAAUUUUUAGUUCCCAUGCUUCAAGGAUUCCCACCUAAUUCUUGGGUUGUGAUCAACGAAUUACAAGAAGCCUCCUGGCUGGAACAGUAUUCCUGGGCACUCUUUAAGGCGAUGUCCCAUAUGCUCUGCAUAGGAUACGGCAGGUUUCCACCACAGUCUCUGACGGAUAUGUGGCUAACGAUGCUUUCCAUGAUAUCAGGAGCGACUUGCUACGCCUUGUUUCUCGGCCACGCCACUAACCUUAUUCAGAGUUUGGAUUCUUCUAGGAGGCAGUAUCGCGAAAAGGUCAAGCAAGUCGAGGAGUAUAUGGCUUACCGCAAGUUGCCGCGAGAGAUGCGCCAGAGGAUCACCGAGUAUUUCGAGCAUCGCUACCAAGGCAAAUUCUUUGAUGAGGAGUGCAUCCUGGGGGAACUCUCGGAAAAGCUCCGCGAAGACGUCAUCAAUUACAACUGCAGGUCUUUGGUUGCUUCGGUGCCAUUCUUCGCCAAUGCAGAUUCCAACUUCGUGUCCGAUGUCGUUACUAAGUUGAAAUAUGAAGUCUUCCAACCUGGUGAUAUUAUUAUAAAGGAAGGAACGAUCGGUUCCAAAAUGUACUUCAUACAAGAGGGCAUUGUCGACAUAGUAAUGGCCAACGGAGAAGUAGCGACUAGCCUCAGUGACGGCUCCUAUUUCGGAGAAAUUUGCCUGCUGACCAACGCCAGAAGAGUGGCAUCCGUCAGAUCGGAAACGUACUGUAACCUCUUCUCUUUGUCCGUCGACCAUUUCAAUGCGGUACUAGAUCAAUACCCGUUGAUGCGUCGCACAAUGGAAUCGGUGGCCGCGGAGAGGUCAGUGCGUUGAUUUUGAAAAAUAUUCAAAUUAAUCUAUUAAGUAUCAAAUUUCUACCGUGCCGUAGAUAAAUCUAAUAGCGAAGAGGUAUCUCGAAAGCUAAACAAAAUAGGCAAAAAUCCAAAUCUAUUAGCGCACAGAGAAGAAGACCUAGGCAGCGAAAGCAAAA
rnacentral:misc_RNA from 1 species